CAACCCCUCUGCUCGCAAAGGUGACCCAGGGACAGAUCUCAAAACAAAAGCACCUCAUAGAAGGAUGCAAUCCUGUCUCUUUUCUGAGAAACCCUUACAGAGAGGGCUCUGAAGAACAGGGGAAUCAGGCACAGUUCUCACAACGUGCUGAGGAUGCUGCGUUGGGCAACUGAGGAGUGUGCAGCUUUUACAGAGCCUGACAAGGUGCAAAACAGGGAUGGGAGAACAAGAGCUUUGUUCUGCUCACCAGCAACUGCCCCAGACCUGCAGAGCAGUGGAGAAGGUGAAGGGCUGCUGUGAUGAGGAAAUCUCAGUCCCUGUUAAUCAGCAGGUCCCAGGUAAAGCCUGACACCCAGAGCAGGCAGGAGCACACAGCCUUGGGUGGGAAAAAACUGCCAGAGACAUCAGGACAGCAUUUUUGUUAACACAAGCAGAGAGAGAACAUGAAGAAACAAUAUCUGGAAGGAUGCAGCCUAACAGCAAUAUUGCCAUCUGACUAAAAAGAACUCAGACCUUCGCUUAAUCCUCAGGAAAAUUCAUCUCCACCCUCCCAGCAGACCCUGGGAGAAUUUGUGACAAAUCUCUUCCUGGACCUGGUGUGUCACUGUGCUGUUCCAGAACAAGGACUGUGAAGUGUUCUUGUCACCUGAAGUGACAAGAGUCCAGCUGCUUACAGAAGUGCAUUUAACAGGCUUGGUUUGAAGACAGGAAGGAUGUCAUCCCUUCCUGAUUCCAGUGGCUGAGGCACCUGAUUCCAGCAGUCUCUCAGGCUCCUUGUGAUGGGCAAUUGAGGAAUAAAACCCACUUAGACGAAGCCCUUUCAAAUCUGUUGUGCCAGGAGGGUCGAUAACGCUCCCACAUCCUUUGUCCGUGCCUGGUGUGACUGUGGACAUCAGAUCUCCAUCCACACCUCGUCCCUAAACCCUCACACUCACCAGACCGACGUGAAACUCAACAGCAG